GGGCCUAUAGUUCAGCGGUAGAAUGACGCCCUUACAAGGCGUAGGUCACCGGUUCGAUCCCGGUUGGGCCCA
rnacentral:tRNA from 1 species